rnacentral:lncRNA from 1 species
AUAUUCAUUCAAUGUAUCAUCUUCCUCUUCCGAAGUAUCAUAUAUAACAUUAUUCAUAUUUUUAUUUAUUGUUUCCACAUCUAUUUGUAAUGCUUCAUUUUCAAUAAUAUCUAGAUCAAUAUCUCCUCUAUGGCAUACUUGAGUGCCAAGAUCUUCCUACUGUAUUGGCAAGACAAUAUUUGAUGAUUCAUUUUCCUAAAAUAUUACUUGCUCACUACUGCCAUCAUUUUUUUCUGGAAUGUCCCAUAUGCCUCUAUGUUGUACCUUUUCCACUACCUUCCACUGUGGACCCAACAAAAGAUCAUCCAUAUAAAAUACUUGUUGUGCUUGGAUGCCAAGUAUAUAGGAAUCAUCCAUGUACCAUUUACGAUUCACAUUGAUAGAAGAAAGAUGGUAAUCUAUGAUUGUU